rnacentral:rRNA from 1 species
UACGGAGGAUCCGAGCGUUAUCCGGAUUUAUUGGGUUUAAAGGGUGCGCAGGCGGGAGAUUAAGUCGGCGGUGAAAUUUUGCAGCUCAACUGUAAAAGUGCCUUCGAAACUGGUUUCCUAGAGUGUGGAUGAAGUAGGCGGAAUUUGUGGUGUAGCGGUGAAAUGCAUAGAUAUCACGAGGAACUCCGAUUGCGCAGGCAGCUUACUAAACUACUACUGACGCUCAGGCACGGAGGCGUGGGGAUCAAACAGGAUUAGAUACCCUGGUA